UCUGUAACAUUACUAAUUAAGUGUCUUUUUAAUACAUUUUAAUCCACUCAUCAUGGGUUGAGGUGAUCAGGGCAGAUAAGACGGUCAGAUUUACUGCUGAGAACAGUACUCAACAUUAUGACAAACUAAUCCUAACAGCAGUCUAUCUCAUCUAGUAAAACUCACUCUGCAAAUAAUCACAAGUGGGUUUAAAAUGCUUUAAUGCUUAAGUGAUCAUGCUUGAUAUUGAACACAAUAAGAAAAAUGACUUUAAAUUGCACUUUUGAAUUGCGUAUCUACUAAUUACAUGUUGUUUAAAAUCAAAUACAACCAAAGGCCUAACUUUAAAAAGCUCAAAGUUACAUUUACAUUCAUGGCAGACGUUUUUAUCCAAAGUAAAUUACAGUUCAUUAAAUGUAUACAUUUUAUCAGUAUGUGUUCUCCAGGAAACAAACAAAGCACAAAAUCUUCCACCAUUUAAGGUACAGGACAUUGUACAAAAUGUGGCUGGGUGUUAUAUGUGUGUGUUGUCUUAAGUAUAUUGUUAAUUUACUAAUGGCUGUGUGAGUAGAGAGUGACGUGUACAGAACAUUGUGCUCAGCAAAGACUGAUAAUUUUUAAGUCUUUUGGGGGUGGAGAGAAGACCUCUUACUGCGGUGGGACUUAGUCAUGAAUACAGAGUAAAAGUAUUAUAAAGGAGAGAAAUGCUGUAGACAGCAGUCAAAGGAAAACUUGCAAACAUGCUACACCCUUUCAUGAUUGGCAUUAUUACUAUUAAUACAUCCAUCACUAUUGCAUACUGGAUCUUUAUUCUGACAGAAGCCUUUCAUAAGAAGACCGAAGAUGAUGACAAAGACAACCCCGUCUAACCAACUUACAUUAUGUGUAGAUAAAUAUAGAGAAGGUUAGGGUUUUUUAUAAAUGCAUGUUAAAAUGCAUCAUUUUUUUUUUAAAUAAAAUUUUGUCAUUUAAAUCAUCUGAAUUGAACCAAUUGUCCUGAUUCCGGUUUUCCAGUGACAGCUUUACCUCCAGGACAGUUAUUUGAAGCAGUUCACUACUGGUCUACAGGUUAACACUGUUGAAAAAGAGGUAUUCUGCAAGAAAUUGAAGGAUGCACCUGAACCAGAGGAAGUUCCUGUCUGACUUAAGAUCUUGAUUCUGAUCUGGUCAUAAUGAAGAUGAAGACCCAACUAAAUCAUUGUGGGAGGAGGAAGAAAAGAAAAAUAAAGACUCAACAGAUGAAACCCAAAUGAGGACCAGAAGAGAAACCUAAACCAUCAUCAGUUGCAAUCAUUUCCAUGUGACACUUUGAACAAAAAAAUACACAUAUUGCUUAUAAUCUGUAGAAGAUGCAUUUUUGUAAAACAUUCUUACUGUUGAUUUGUUUGUAGUAACUUAGAGCAAUUUCUU